UGAGCAAUCUGCCCUUCUCUUCGGAAUAAAGACGUUGGAAACGACGUCUAAUGCCGAAUACGACCUCCUUUCGCAUGAUCGGAGGUGGAAAGCUCCGGCGGAGAAGGAUGAGCUCGCGGCCUAUCAGCUAGUUGGUGUGGGUAAUGGCCCACAAGGCGACGACGGGUAGCCGGCCUGAGAGGGUGACCGGCCACACUGGGACUGAGACACGGCCCAGACUCC
rnacentral:rRNA from 1 species